rnacentral:tRNA from 1 species
UAAAAGAUAUUGUAAAGGUUGCAUUAGGGGCUUUGAUCUCCUCCGUGAAAGUUCAAUUCUUUCUCUUUUAA